rnacentral:rRNA from 1 species
AACGAACGCUGGCGGCAGGCCUAACACAUGCAAGUCGAGCGGACCUUUCGGGGUCAGCGGCGGACGGGUGAGUAACGCGUGGGAAUAUGCCCUUCUCUACGGAAUAGUCCUGGGAAACUGGGGGUAAUACCGUAUACGCCCUUUGGGGGAAAGAUUUAUCGGGGAAGGAUUAGCCCGCGUUGGAUUAGGUAGUUGGUGGGGUAAUGGCCUACCAAGCCGACGAUCCAUAGCUGGUUUGAGAGGAUGAUCAGCCACACUGGGACUGAGACACGGCCCAGACUCCUACGGGAGGCAGCAGUGGGGAAUCUUAGACAAUGGGGGCAACCCUGAUCUAGCCAUGCCGCGUGAGUGAUGAAGGCCGUAGGGUUGUAAAGCUCUUUCAGCUGGGAAGAUAAUGACGGUACCAGCAGAAGAAGCCCCGGCUAACUCCGUG